CAGGGUUAUGAUGAUGGCUAUGGGGGUGAAUAUGAUGAUGAGACCUAUGAGGCUUAUGACAAUAGCUAUGCCAUCCAAGCUCAAAGUGUUCCUGAAUACUAUGACUAUGGUCAUGGAGUAAGUGAGGAUGCCUAUGACAGCUAUGCGCCAGAAGAAUGGGCCACGACUCACUCCAGCCUGAAAGCACCUCCAUCAAGGUCAGCCCGAGGGGGAUACAGGGAGCACCCCUAUGGUAGAUACUGAGGGUCCUCCUCGCCUGUGACCUCACCUCAGAGACAGUUCAUAGCCUGUGGUCUCCACGUAAACAACAACAUGACAAGUAAUAGUCCUUUUUUUUGUUCCUAUUCUAGGGAUAACUGCCCAUGAUUGCUCCCAUAUAUUUCUUGUAUUUCCCCUAUACAGUUGGCAUGACAAUGACACUAUUAUUAUUAUUUUACAACACAGACUAAAAAAGAUGUUGGCAAGCAUCAUCUAUAAACCAUCAUUCAGUAGGAUGAUACUCUCUGGGUUGUUUUCAUUGUUGUGUGUAAUCUUUCUCUCUCUCUCUCUCUCUAUUUUUUUUUUAACAAAGAGCAUGAAUCUUUUAACAGACUUUGAGUCUCAAUCAAUUAGAAAAACUUUGUUUAAGUUUACUAAAAGACUGUAACACAAUAUUUGAACUAGCUAUAAUAAAGUUGUAGAUAAGAUGUUUUAACCUGUCUUUUAAUAUCUGUUAGUUAGAUGAAGCUGUUUGAAAUUAAGUUUGUAAAUUUAAUUUUAAAUGCUGUUUUAAUGGAGUUGAAAACAAGCAGCUACUGUAUGUAUGUAGCUAACUGAAUUUGUUUAGUGUUUUAACCUGUAUUUGUUAAAAAAGAAAAAAACACACACAUAAAGUUCCAUGUGUAAGCUUCUCUAAAUAGGAAACCACAAUUUGUCAAAUAUGUUUGCCAUAAUUUGUCAAUAAAGCUGAAAGCUUUUGUAAAAACUAAAUUUGGAAUUACUUGUUUUCUAGCUUUAAAUGCCUGCUUUAUUUCUUCUUUAAUAUAUGCCUAAAAUGUUUUCUAUUUAAAAAUUACAAAAAUGAACCCAAGCCUGUUUUAAGAUAUUUGUGUAAUACUUUAAAAGUGUACUAAUAACUUAUGGUUGUUAAAUAAUUUAAAAGUUAGCAAACUAAACUGUUACAUGAAUCAUGGUUAGUAGACACUAAUGUAUAACAUGUUAAUGGGAAAAAUAUGGAUUUAGAAUAAUAAAUGGAUUUUAAACUAU